rnacentral:rRNA from 1 species
AUUGAACGCUGGCGGCAGGCCUAACACAUGCAAGUCGAGCGGAUGAAGGGAGCUUGCUCCUGGAUUCAGCGGCGGACGGGUGAGUAAUGCCUAGGAAUCUGCCUGGUAGUGGGGGAUAACGUCCGGAGACGGGCGCUAAUACCGCAUACGUCCUGAGGGAGAAAGUGGGGGAUCUUCGGACCUCACGCUAUCAGAUGAGCCUAGGUCGGAUUAGCUAGUUGGUGGGGUAAAGGCCUACCAAGGCGACGAUCCGUAACUGGUCUGAGAGGAUGAUCAGUCACACUGGAACUGAGACACGGUCCAGACUCCUACGGGAGGCAGCAGUGGGGAAUAUUGGACAAUGGGCGAAAGCCUGAUCCAGCCAUGCCGCGUGUGUGAAGAAGGUCUUCGGUUUGUAAAGCACUUUAAGUUGGGAGGAAGGGCAGUAAGUUAAUACCUUGCUGUUUUGACGUUACCAACAGAAUAAGCACCGGCUAACUUCGUG